rnacentral:rRNA from 1 species
GACGAACGCUGGCGGCGUGCUUAACACAUGCAAGUCGAACGGAAAGUCCCUGCUUUUUUGCGGUGCUCGAUUGGCGAACGCGUGCGUAUGACGUGAGUAACCUGCCCUUGACUUUGGGAUAACUUCAGGAAACUGAAGCUACGCCCAUAUAGCAGCCCCUGCUCCAUGGUAGGGGUUGGAACGUCUCGCCGGUUGGGGAUGGACUGGCGGAUGAUCAGCUUGUUGGUGGGGUAGUGGCUUACCAAGCCUGUGACGGGUAGGCGGCCUGAGAGUGUGACCGGCAACAAGGGGACUCAGAAACGGCACAGACCACUAAGGGAGGCAGCGGUGGGAAAUAUUGCACAACGGAAGGAGGCAUGAUGCGGAAACGCCGGGUGCGGGAAGACGGUCUUAGGGUAGUAAACCGCUUUCGCCUGAGACGAAGCGUGAGUGACGGUAAUGGGUAAAGAAGCACCGGCUAACUACGUG